CCCCAAAAAUGGAGACCCCAAAGCCACCCAGAUCCCAACCCCAUGGGGCACCAAGAGGAGAAGAUCCCAAACCCGUGGGUGGAAGAUCCCAAUGGGGGAAGAUCCCAAUGGGGGAAGACCCCAAUGGGGGAAGAUCCCAAUGGGGGAAGAUCCCAAACCCAUGGAUGGAAGACCCCAAUGAUGGAAGAUCCCGAGGGGGGAAGAUCCCAAGGGGGGAAGACCCCAAACCCAUGGACGGAAGACCCCAAUGGGGGAAGAUCCCAAUGAUGGAAGAUCCCAAACCCAUGGAUGGAAGACCCCAAUGGUGGAAGACCCCAAACCCAUGGAUGGAAGAUCCCAAUGGUGGAAGAUCCCAAUGGUGGAAGACCCCAAUGGUGGAAGAUCCCAAUGGGGGAAGAUCCCAAUGAUGGAAGACCCCAAUGGUGGAAGAUACCAAUGAUGGAAGAUCCCAAUGGGGGAAGAUCCCAAACCCAACAUGAUUGGGAUCCCCCAAAAAUGGAGACCCCAAAGCCACCCGGAUCCCACAACCCCAUGGGGCACCAAGAGGAGAAGAUCCCAAACCCAACGACAUCGGGAACCCCCAAAGAUGGAGACCCCAAAACCACUGAGAUCCCACAACCAUGGGGCACCAGGGAUGGAAGACCCCAAUGGUGGAAGAUCCCAACCCCAUGGAUGGAAGAUCCCAAACCCAAUGACAUUGGGAUCCCCCAAAAAUGGAGACCCCAAAGACACCGGGAUCCCAACCCCAUGGGGCACCAAGAGGAGAAGAUCCCAAACCCAUGGAUGGAAGAUCCCAAUGGGGGAAGACCCCAAUGGGGGGAAGACCCCAAUGAUGGAAGAUCCCAAUGGGGGAAGAUCCCAAUGGGAGAAGAUCCCAAUGGGAGAAGAUCUCAAUGGUGGAAGAUCCCAAAGAUGGAAGACCCCAAAGAUGGAAGACCCCAAAGCC
rnacentral:lncRNA from 1 species